CAGAGGAUCUGCAAAAUCAAAAUGAUUUUCCUAAUAAUUCUAAAGUGUUAUUUUCCUUUUUCACAAUGCUGACUUGUGUAAAGUUGAUUCAAGAUCAAUGACAGACAAAGGACUGCUCUCUUACCAAAAUCAAGUGCCAGAGUCCCAGCUUCAAGCAUGACAGACAUGGUCUUGAAAAUCAAUGAGAAAAACCCUGAGACUCCAAUAAAUAAACCAAACAACAACAACAACACAGAGGACCUCAAGGAAGAAAAAAAAUUCUGUCAGAGGCUACAUGGAGGGGACUUCCUAGAGAUAUCCUGGGGCUGAGAAGGGCCUGCUUGUCAAUUACAGCUACAUGUGGUUAUCCAUCAACAUGUAACCCAAUGAAUGUGCGAGGUACGUAUUUAACUUCUGGGUCACCUUCUUGGUGCUGAAUUUACUCCUUCUCUUCUUAUGGACCUGGAAUAUGUUCAUGGCCACAAAAUAUUAGAAACUGUGUCAAUGAAGAUAACAUCAGAGAAGAUGAUGGAGCAACAAGUUAGAAAUCACGUGGAUUCUUAAAUGACCUUAUGAAGCAUUGUUCCCUCACUAAGCCUGGAUGGCUCACUGUAUUAUUAGGUAUUGUAGCUAAAUAACUUAGUCUCUCCUGUGAUUAACAUUUGUCCCUCAUGAAUAUAUAAUGUUUUAUGGUCUCAAAAUGCUCUUCAAUAAAUUACUCCAUUACAUUGGUUUUUAACA